rnacentral:rRNA from 1 species
CGGACGGGUGAGUAACGCGUGGAAAACCUGCCGUAUACUGGGGGAUAACACUUAGAAAUAGGUGCUAAUACCGCAUAAGCGCACAGCUUCGCAUGAAGCGGUGUGAAAAACUCUGGUGGUAUACGAUGGUUCCGCGUCUGAUUAGCUAGUUGGUGGGGGUAAUGGCCUACCAAGGCAACGAUCAGUAGCCGGCCUGAGAGGGUGAACCGGCCACAUUGGGACUGAGACACGGCCAAACUCCUACGGGAGGCAGCAG